rnacentral:rRNA from 1 species
AUUGAACGCUGGCGGCAUGCUUUACACAUGCAAGUCGAACGGUAACAGGCCGCAAGGUGCUGACGAGUGGCGAACGGGUGAGUAAUGCAUCGGAACGUGCCCAGUCGUGGGGGAUAACGCAGCGAAAGCUGCGCUAAUACCGCAUACGAUCUAUGGAUGAAAGCGGGGGACCGUAAGGCCUCGCGCGAUUGGAGCGGCCGAUGUCAGAUUAGGUAGUUGGUGGGGUAAAGGCCUACCAAGCCGACGAUCUGUAGCUGGGCUGAGAGGACGACCAGCCACACUGGGACUGAGACACGGCCCAGACUCCUACGGGAGGCAGCAGUGGGGAAUUUUGGACAAUGGGCGCAAGCCUGAUCCAGCAAUGCCGCGUGCAGGAAGAAGGCCUUCGGGUUGUAAACUGCUUUUGUACGGAACGAAACGGUCUGGGUUAAUACCCUGGGCUAAUGACGGUACCGUAAGAAUAAGCACCGGCUAACUACGUGCCAGCCGCCGCCGUAAUAC